rnacentral:sRNA from 1 species
GGCGCGGACUUUGUAAACACUUCGCCCCUGCAGGGGUGGAGACUGGCUGUGUUCGGAUGCCGGGGGGGAGAGGUGCAAUCCUCUCCUCGAGGCUGGUGGUUGCGACCACCCCCACUCCCCAAAGGCAGGCUCCAGAGGCGGCGGGACAGAGCUCCUGCGACCCCAGUCGGUGCUCCGGGGAGCUCACCUGCCGAGGAGUUAUUCUUACAGAUUCGAGAAUCACUUUUGAAAGCCUUCAUUGGAUCCUUGUGAAAUGACCGAUUGACUGCUUGGAUGAACUCCUGAAGUGUUUCUAUGGAGGACAGACCAAGAGGAAACUUAAUAUUUCCUCCCAAUUUUCCUGUGAAACUAAAACUGCGCUAAAAAACAGUCUAUUUAGAAAAACAGAAGAAGAAGAUAGUUGCCUAUAGAGGAACUAAAGAAUGUUGUGG